rnacentral:rRNA from 1 species
GAUCCUGGCUCAGGAUGAACGCUAGCUACAGGCUUAACACAUGCAAGUCGAGGGGCAUCGGGAAGAAAGCUUGCUUUCUUUGCUGGCGACCGGCGCACGGGUGAGUAACACGUAUCCAACCUGCCCUUUACUCGGGGAUAGCCUUUCGAAAGAAAGAUUAAUACCCGAUAGCAUAAUGAUUCCGCAUGGUUUCAUUAUUAAAGGAUUCCGGUAAAGGAUGGGGAUGCGUUCCAUUAGGUUGUUGGGUGAGGUAACGG